rnacentral:rRNA from 1 species
UUUAAAUUUAGAGUUUGAUCCUGGCUCAGGACGAACGCUGGCGGCGUGCUUAACACAUGCAAGUCGAGCGAUGAAGCUUCCUUCGGGAAGUGGAUUAGCGGCGGACGGGUGAGUAACACGUGGGUAACCUGCCUCAAAGUGGGGGAUAGCCUUCCGAAAGGAAGAUUAAUACCGCAUAAUAUAAGAGAAUCGCAUGAUUUUCUUAUCAAAGAUUUAUUGCUUUGAGAUGGACCCGCGGCGCAUUAGCUAGUUGGUAAGGUAACGGCUUACCAAGGCAACGAUGCGUAGCCGACCUGAGAGGGUGAUCGGCCACAUUGGAACUGAGACACGGUCCAGACUCCUACGGGAGGCAGCAGUGGGGAAUAUUGCGCAAUGGGGGAAACCCUGACGCAGCAACGCCGCGUGGGUGAUGAAGGUCUUCGGAUUGUAAAGCCCUGUUUUCUAGGACGAUAAUGACGGUACUAGAGGAGGAAGCCACGGCUAACUACGUGCCAGCAGCCGCGGUAAUACGUAGGUGGCGAGCGUUGUCCGGAUUUACUGGGCGUAAAGGGUGCGUAGGCGGAUGUUUAAGUGGGAUGUGAAAUCCCCGGGCUUAACCUGGGGGCUGCAUUCCAAACUGGAUAUCUAGAGUGCAGGAGA